CCUUGAAAUACCACCCUUUAAUGGCUGGUGUUCUAACGUAGACCCGUAAUCCGGGUUGCGGACAGUGUCUGGUGGGUAGUUUGACUGGGGCGGUCUCCUCCCAAAGAGUAACGGAGGAGCACGAAGGUUGGCUAAUCCUGGUCGGACAUCAGGAGGUUAGUGCAAUGGCAUAAGCCAGCUUGACUGCGAGCGUGACGGCGCGAGCAGGUGCGAAAGCAGGUCAUAGUGAUCCGGUGGUUCUGAAUGGAAGGGCCAUCGCUCAACGGAUAAAAGGUACUCCGGGGAUAACAGGCUGAUACCGCCCAAGAGUUCAUAUCGACGGCGGUGUUUGGCACCUCGAUGUCGGCUCAUCACAUCCUGGGGCUGAAGUAGGUCCCAAGGGUAUGGCUGUUCGCCAUUUAAAGUGGUACGCGAGCUGGGUUUAGAACGUCGUGAGACAGUUCGGUCCCUAUCUGCCGUGGGCGCUGGAGAAUUGAGGGGGGCUGCUCCUAGUACGAGAGGACCGGAGUGGACGCAUCACUGGUGUUCGGGUUGUCAUGCCAAUGGCACUGCCCGGUAGCUAAAUGCGGAAGAGAUAAGUGCUGAAAGCAUCUAAGCACGAAACUUGCCCCGAGAUGAGUUCUCCCUGAGACUUUAAGUCUCCUGAAGGAACGUUAAAGACGAUGACGUUGAUAGGUCGGGUGUGUAAGCGCAGCGAUGCGUUGAGCUAACCGAUACUAAUGAACCGUGAGGCUUAACCUUACAACGCCGAAG
rnacentral:rRNA from 1 species